rnacentral:rRNA from 1 species
AUGGCCGCCGCCGCCGAGGUCGGGCCGAUGAUGGCGACGGUUGCCCUGGAGUGCGGCGGCGACAUCUCGGCGUCCCAGGAGGACACCCUCGCCAACUCCUCCUUCCUCGGCGCCGGCAACGCCCCCUCCGCCUCGCAGGCGCGGGGGGCCGAGGACGACGACGAGGAGGUCUUCGCCACCCCUCCCGAGCUCCCCCAACAAGACCCCAUCACCAUGUGCAGCCUCCCCUUCACCCCCAGUCCCGCUCAGCCCCAGUCGCCCUCGCCACCUCCCUCCGACGACGACGACGCCGCCAAACCUCGCCGGAAGCCUAGGGUUUGCACCAGGAAGGUCAGGGGCGCCAAGUUCAGCACCCCAGCCCCGACCCCGAGCCCCAAGCAGCAGCAGCAGCCAGAGCAACCGCCCCGUGCCGUCGUCGAUCCUCUCUACAGGGCGAUGCUCAUGAUCCCCACCGCCACCGCCGCCGCCGCCACCACCAGCAAGCACGAUCCCUUGGAGGACUUCCUCGCGCUCGCCCGCCAGCGCGGCAUCUUCUAG